GGGACACUGUAAGGCACUUUCCCCGGUGUCUAAGAGCAACCGCUGCAAGCGCACAGCCGAGUCCCUGAAACUGGGACCCGUGGGCUCCCACGUUCGGGCUCAGACCCCAAGGUAUUUACUGAAGUCUUGAUAUGGAAGAGGCAAGACGCCAAGGCCUGCCGAGAGAGGUAUAUAUAAAACAGAGUUUACAGGUUGAAGAAGAUCAGGUUUGCUCUGCUGAGAUCUUGUGUGAAGCAAAUACUUAGUGAACUUUUGCAGGUCAACUCCAAGCUCAUCUGGCCAGAUAGUACCCCACCCCUCUAUGUUGGAGAAAGUCUUGCCUCAGCACCUGAGUUAGUCUCAGCUGACAUCAUUCUGCCAAUUAGCUGGAGUUCAAGGAAGACAAGAAGCCACCAGCAUACCACCAAAAGUUUUUGGUUCAUCUCUCUGUAGAGUCCUGACAAAUGGAGCUCAACUAUGCAAUGUGGACCAAUACAUGCAUCUCCGUAGGGAAGAAUCCUUUAUCAUGUGUCCUUUCACAUGCUUGCUUUAGGAGAAAAUCCUUUAACCUUGUGUCUGCUUCAGUGAAACUUUCCUUCACAUGCCUGCUUUAGUAAAAUAUUCUUUCACUUGUGUCUGCUUCAGGAAAAUACUCCUUCACAUGUUUGCCCCAGCAAAACUCCAUCUGACACAUCUGACUUUCCAAAGAACCCUUAAGUGUCCACUGUACUUUAUUUUUUUUAAUUGAAAGAAAAUUGUGAUAAAGUUUAAUAUCUGUUCAAGGGAACAAGUUUUCAGAAUCCUUUUUAUUUUUAUAGAUGUAUCCAAAAUAC
ensembl:processed_transcript Gm11999 predicted gene 11999